CGUUUUAAUUUUUAACUCUAUUUAUUGUGAUGUUUUUUGAUUUAUUUUAAGUUAUUUUUGUAAAAUGUUUUAAUUUGUUUUUUUUAGGGUGUUAAAAGUUUGUUUUUUGAACUGGAUUAGUACCCAGGUAAUCAAAAUUAAUUAAUUCGGGAGUAAAGUUUUGUUUAAACCGAAAAAAUAUUGACUGACUUUAGAUUUUUCUUUGGAACAUGUGUUUUUGGAGAGCCCUCCUUUUUAGUUAUUUUAUCGGCACAUGUAUGAUUGUUUAGUUUUUAUUUUAUUUUGUAAUGCUUUUUGUUUUUUACAUUUAAAACAGAUAUAUAUUUGGCUUAUGAAUUUAUUUUUCAUGUGUUACUAUUAUGAAUUGUUUUGGAUUGAUUUUUUUUUUUUUGAAAUUGGAAAAGAAAGUAAUUUUUUUUUGAUGUUGAAUUAAAUAA
rnacentral:rRNA from 1 species